CCUACGGGCGGCAGCAGUGGGGAAUAUUGCGCAAUGGGCGAAAGCCUGACGCAGCGACGCCGCGUGAGGGAUGAAGGUCUUCGGAUCGUUAACCUCUGUCAGCAGGGAAGAACGGUCACUGUGCUAAUCAGCAGUGAAUUGACGGUACCUGCAAAGGAAGCACCGGCUAACUCCGUGCCAGCAGCCGGGGUAAUACGGAGGGUGCGAGCGUUAAUCGGAAUUACUGGGCGUAAAGCGCUCGUAGGCGGUAUGUCAAGUCAAGGGUGAAAUCCCCGCGCUUAACGUGGGAACUGCCUUUGAAACUGGCAAACUGGAGUGUGUGAGAGGAUAGUGGAAUGCCAGGUGUAGGAGUGAAAUCCGUAGAUAUCUGGAGGAACAUCAGUGGCGAAGGCGACUAUCUGGCACAUAACUGACGCUGAGGAGCGAAAGCGUGGGUAGCAAACAGGAUUAGAUACCCCAGUAGUC
rnacentral:rRNA from 1 species